rnacentral:rRNA from 1 species
CCUACGGGCCGCACCAGUGGGGAAUAUUGCACAAUGGGCGCAAGCCUGAUGCAGCCAUGCCGCGUGUAUGAAGAAGGCCUUCGGGUUGUAAAGUACUUUCGGCGGGGAGGAAGGCGAUACGGUUAAUAACCUUGUCGAUUGACGUUACCCGCAGAAGAAGCACCGGCUAACUCCGUGCCAGCAGCCGCGGUAAUACGGAGGGUGCAAGCGUUAAUCGGAAUUACUGGGCGUAAAGCGCACGCAGGCGGUCUGUCAAGUCAGAUGUGAAAUCCCCGGGCUCAACCUGGGAACUGCAUUCGAAACUGGCAGGCUAGAGUCUUGUAGAGGGGGGUAGAAUUCCAGGUGUAGCGGUGAAAUGCGUAGAGAUCUGGAGGAAUACCGGUGGCGAAGGCGGCCCCCUGGACAAAGACUGACGCUCAGGUGCGAAAGCGUGGGGAGCAAACAGGAUUAGAUACCCCGGUAGUC